rnacentral:snoRNA from 1 species
AAAAACUACAAAACCAACCAGUAUCAUUGGCUGUCCUAGUAUCUCCAACUCUGGGACGGUCUCUCUAAGCUGGGAGAAAGAAACCUACCAGAAUUGAACGAUCUAAGUUCUGUUACCCGAUUUUAUUUUGAUAUCGAUGUAACCCUAUUAUUGUUCAGACAACC